rnacentral:sRNA from 1 species
CUACUGAGGGUCGUGACCACCUUGGUCCGG